GACGAACGCUGGCGGCGUGCUUAACACAUGCAAGUCGAACGGACAGGCCCUGCUUUUGUUGGUUGCUCGUGUGCCGAACGCGUGUGUGACACGUGUGUAACCCGCCCUUGUCUUUGGGAUAUCUCCUGGAAACUCCGGCGAAUAUCCGAUAGGAUCUCCUGCAGCAUGUUGUGGGUUGGAAAGUUUCGGCGUUUCUGGCUGGACUCGGGGGGUAUCAGCUUGUUGGUAGGGUAGCGGCUUUACAAGGCAACGAUGGGUAGCCGGCCUGAGAGGGUGAUCGGCCACACUGGAACUGGGACACGGUCCAGACUACUACGGGAGGCAGCAGUAGGGAAGCUGCCGCAAUGGGCGAAAGCUUGACGGAGCAACGCCGCGUGAGUGAUGAAGGUCUUCGGAUCGUAAAACUCUGUUAUUAGGGAAGAACAAAUGUGUAAGUAACUAUGCACGUCUUGACGGUACCUAAUCAGAAAGCCACGGCUAACUACGUG
rnacentral:rRNA from 1 species